GACGAACGCUGGCGGCGUGCUUAACACAUGCAAGUCGAACGGAAAGGCCCUGCUUUUGUGGGGUGCUCGAGUGGCGAACGGGUGAGUAACAAGUGAGUAACCUGCCCUUGACUUUGGGAUAACUUCAGGAAACUGGGGCUAAUACCGGAUAGGAGCUCCUGCUGCAUGGUGGGGGUUGGAAAGUUUCGGCGGUUGGGGAUGGACUCGCGGCUUAUCAGCUUGUUGGUGGGGGAGUGGCUUACCAAGGCUUUGACGGGUAGCCGGCCUGAGAGGGUGACCGGCCACAUUGGGACUGAGAUACGGCCCAGACUCCUACGGGAGGCAGCAGUGGGGAAUAUUGCACAAUGGGCGGAAGCCUGAUGCAGCAACGCCGCGUGCGGGAUGACGGCCUUCGGGUUGUAAACCGCUUUCGCCUGUGACGAAGCGUGAGUGACGGUAAUGGGUAAAGAAGCACCGGCUAACUACGUG
rnacentral:rRNA from 1 species